GAUGAAGAACGCAGCGAAAUGCGAUAAGUAAUGCGAAUUGCAGAAUUCAGUGAGUCAUCGAAUCUUUGAACGCACAUUGCGCCCUGUGGUAUUCCGCAGGGCAUGCCUGUUCGGGCGUCAUUUCAACCCUCAAGCUCUGCUUGGUGUUGGGCCCUGCCCGCUGCGGCCGGCCCUAAAGACAGUGGCGGUGCCGCCUGGCCCUGAGCGUAGUACAUCUCUCGCUCCAGUGCCCGGUGGUAGCCUGCCAGAACCCCAACUCUCGUGGUUGACCUCGGAUCAGGUAGGGAUACCCGCUGAACUUAAGCAUAUCAAUAAGCGGAGGA
rnacentral:misc_RNA from 1 species